CCAGUAGCGAAAAAAAAUAGAAGUGUCUUUGGUGAACAGGAAGUGUCUGCAGUCUCCAUCUUGGAGCUUUCUUCUGUCAGGUUUGCUUCUCUAC